CCGACCUUAGCACAGUUGGUAAAGCGGAGGACUGUAGAUCCUUAGGUCGCUGGUUCAAAUCCAGCAGGUCGGA